GACGUAGGGCGCGAGCGUUGUCCGGAUUUAUUGGGCGUAAAGAGCUCGUAGGCGGCUUGUCGCGUCGUCUGUGAAAUCCCGUGGCUCAACUGCGGGCUGGCAGUCGAUACGGGCAGGCUGGAGUUCGGUAGGGGAGACUGGAAUUCCUGGUGUGGCGGUGAAAUGCGCAGAUAUCAGGAGGAACACCGGUGGCGAAGGCGGGUCUCUGGGCCGAUAUUGACGCUGAGGAGCGAAAGCGUGGGGAGCAAACAGG
rnacentral:rRNA from 1 species